GAUCAUGGCUCAGAACGAACGCUGGUGGCGUGCUUAUACAUGCAAGUCGAGCGAGGCAGCAAUGCCGAGCGGCGAACGGGUGAGUAACGCGUAAGCAAUCUGCCCCAUAUCAGGAAAUACCCGUGCCAACGCGCGGUUAAUGUCCAGGAGAGUGGCCUUCCGCAUGGAAGGUUGACUAGAGAUUUAUCGGUAUGGGAUGAGCUUGCGUCCGAUUAGCUAGUUGGCGGGGCAACGGCCCACCAAGGCGACGAUCGGUAGCCGGCCUGAGAGGGUGAUCGGCCACAUUGGGACUGAGAUACGGCCCAGACUCCUACGGGAGGCAGCAGUAGGGAAUAUUGCACAAUGGGGGAAACCCUGAUGCAGCAACGCCACGUGUGGGAAGAAGCAUUUCGGUGUGUAAACCACUGUCAUGAGGAUAAGCCGCUCCGACGGACCUUGAUGUACCUUGAGAGGAAGCACCGGCAAACUUCGUGCCAGCCGCAGC
rnacentral:rRNA from 1 species